CAAACCACGCCCACUAUUACAAGUUUACAUGGUUAGGGAAAUUGACGAAAUUCGCGCGCAUGGGUCACGGGGAGCCCAGGGAGCAUCGGGCACAAGACGGGGUAUACUCUGGACAGGGUGCCAAUCCAUCGCAGGGCACAAUCACAUACACUACGGACACUUUGGACUGGGGAAAACCGGAGUACCCGGGGAAAACCCCCGCAGCACGGGGACAACAUGCAAACUCCACACACACAGAGCGGAAUCUCAUCCUCAACCCUGGACGUGUGAGGCGAACGUGCUAACCACUAAGCAGACAACUUGUCAUUAUUUGGGCGUUUUAGAAUGUAGUUCCAGGUUUGAACACUGGGUGUCGCUAUAAUUCCAUCUAAAACCGCUCGUUUUUCUCGUCUAUCCCAACAUGUUAUAGCAAUGUUAUAGCCCAACAUGUUAUAGCCCAACAUGACAAACAGAACGUGAACGCAGGUGAAUACGGCUACCUAGAGAAAUAAAUUCUUUUAAUUCAGAAGAAAGUAUUUUGUUUCAUUUGUCAGUGAUCAGUUGAUAUGAUGAAGGAACAUGAUAUUAGUGAACAUUAAAAUCUUUAUUUACAAAGCAGUACAGAAGAAUAUGUUUGUACCCAAUAUGUUGGUCAUUGGCAUUAAAGGGAAUGUAAUGGUUCUUUAUUAUUUUUGUGACUCCAUAUUUAUCUCCAUCAGGACUCCAGUUAGAAAAGGUUGGACGCCAUGGGUUAAUGGUUAAUAACCUAAGUACUAAUUACAAAUGAAGCGCUACAGCGAGUGCCAUGAAAAACUUUGGAGAAAGGAGAUGACAAAGAGAGAACGUAUCGGUUCCUUUUCAUCUUCAGUGACUGCUUUAUUCCCAAUCAUGGUGGUGGUGGAUCCAGAGUCUAUCCCGGGAACACUUGGCGUGAGGCAGCGACACAUCCUGAAUGAGACGCUAGUUCUUCACAGGGCACCAUGCACACACAUUUACAACUAAUGGUAUGUUAUGUAAUGUAUCUUGGAAGGUGGAAGGAGACCGGAGAAGCAGGAGGAAACCCACAAGGACACAGGAAGAAUAUGUGAAACUCUACACAGGUAGAGCCACAAUGAUGUUUGAACUGGUGAUCGUGCGGCUGUGAGGAAGCAACGCUACCUAGUACCCCAAGUAAGACACUGAGCCCAAAGUUGCUCCCGAUGGCAAGUUAGCGCCUUGCAUGGCAGCUCUGCUACCAUUGGUAUGUGUGUGAGUGUGUAUGUGAAUGGGUGAAUGAGACACAGUGAAAAGCGCUCUGGAUAAAAACACUAUAUAAGUACAGACCAUUUACCUUUUACCAUUUAGUACCCAAUGUUCCACUCUUAUAUGGGUUAAUGUUAGAAGAGAAACUCUAACAGAGUUGCAACUCUGUUAAUGAGUAAGUUGUGGUUCAACUACUACUUGCAAUGUUUAGGACUGUGAGUUGGGAUAGUGGUAGCUCAGUGGUUAAGACAUUGGGCUUCUGAUCGGAAGGUUAUGAGUUCAAAUUGCUGCUGCUGGACCCUUGAGCAAGGCCCUCAACUGCUCUGUUUUAUAAAUGAGAUAAGUGUAACUUGCUCUGGAUAAGGCUGUCUGCCAAAUGUAAUAAAUGUAACAGUGACCUCUA